rnacentral:rRNA from 1 species
GGCCGCGGUAAGACAGAGGGUGCAAACGUUGUUCGGAAUUACUGGGCGUAAAGCGAGUGUAGGCGGUCUGUAAAGUCAGGUGUGAAAGCCCCGGGCUCAACCCGGGAAGUGCACUUGAAACUCACAGGCUAGAGUAUCGGAGAGGUUGGUGGAAUUCUCGGUGUAGAGGUGAAAUUCGUAGAUAUCGAGAGGAACACCGGUGGCGAAGGCGGCCAACUGGACGAAUACUGACGCUGAGGUGCGAAAGCGUGGGGAGCGAACA